GGUCCAGUGCCACAUAUAGGACAUUAUUAAAUUAUAUAGGAUAUAAUUUUGACAUUAUAAGAAGUGGUUUAAAAACAUAAUUAGACUGAUAUACAGUUGUAAGUAAUCCAGUCUUCUGAAGUAAUAUAAUCAAUGUAUGAUGAACAGAGCAAUCAUUGAUCAGCUUAUGUAUACAGUUAUCAGAGUGAUAAAAUCUAAGUGUUCUUAGUGUUAUAAUGAUUUGGGCUCUGUAAACAGCAGACAUUUAUCAAAAUAUAUGCGUUGGGAUUUUGUGUUGGAAAAUUUCUGCAUAGAGCACCUCAAGAAGAUCUCAGACAGAGGUAAAGUCCUGGAGAUUCAUCUGCUCUCAAGAAAAAAAUCAUAUUAGGAAUUGAUGCAAGAUUAUUUUCUCUUGAUAUGAGAAUCACACUAAUAGUGUAUGUUCAUUUCAGCCGUCACAUUCACCAACAUUGUUCCCAGGACCAGGAACGACUUCCUACAAUAUUCCCAUCAGCUCACUCUGGAUCUGAACACAGUGAAUAAAAACCUCCGUCUGUCUGAGAGCAACAGAGUGAUUACUCAUACUUGCCCAUACUUGUAUCCUGAUCAUCCAGACAGAUUUGAGAUUUUGUGUCAGGUGUUAUGUAGAGAGAGUGUGUGUGGACGCAGUUACUGGGAGCUGCAGUGGAGUGGAUUUAGUGUGUUUAUAUCAGUUUCAUAUAAGAGCAUCGGCAGGAAGCAAUCAGGUGAUGAGUGUUUGUUUGGACGUAAUGAUCAGUCUUGGAGUUUGUCUUGUUUUCCCUCCAAAUACUCAUUCUGUCACAAUAAGAUAGAAACUGGUCUCCCUGUGAAACCCAUCAGCAGUAGAAUAGGAGUGUAUGUGGAUCACAGUGCAGAAAUUCUGUCCUACUACAGCGUCUCUGACACAUUGAGCCUCAUCCACACAGUCCAGACCACAUUCACUCAGUCGCUCUAUCCUGGGAUUUAUGUUUGUCCUGGAUCAUCAGUGAAACUGUGUUGAUGAAUCAAAAUAGUUUGACAAGAGAUUCUACCCAUAAUCCAUUGAGCUGCUUGACAAAUCAGUAACAGUGAGAUUUUAUGAAGUCUCUUCUUUACAUUAAUACUGCAGCUGAACUUCUGUCAGAGAAAUAGCAUGUCAGAAUAAAUGUGUGUAAUAAAUCCUCAUAUAGACAGUGA